rnacentral:rRNA from 1 species
AGGACGAACGCUGGCGGCGUGCUUAACACAUGCAAGUCGAGCGGAAAGGCCCUUCGGGGUACUCGAGCGGCGAACGGGUGAGUAACACGUGAGUAACCUGCCCCUAGCUCUGGGAUAGCUCCGGGAAACCGGGAUUAAUACCAGAUACGACCACUUUAGACAUCUGUCGUGGUGGAAAGGAUUCCGGCUAGGGAUGGGCUCGCGGCCUAUCAGCUUGUUGGUGGGGUAACGCCUACCAAGGCGACGACGGUAGCCGGCCUGAGAGGGCGACCGGCCACACUGGGACUGAGACACGGCCCAGACUCCUACGGGAGGCAGCAGUGGGGAUAUUGCGCAAUGGGCGAAAGCCUGACGCAGCGACGCCGCGUGGGGGAUGAAGGCCUUCGGGUUGUAAACCCCUUUCAGCAGGACGAAGCGAAAGUGACGGUACCUGCAGAAGAAGCGCCGGCUAACUACGUGCCAGCAGCCGC